rnacentral:rRNA from 1 species
AUUGAACGCUGGCGGCAGGCUUAACACAUGCAAGUCGAGCGAGCGGCGGACGGGUGAGUAAUGUCUGGGAAACUGCCUGAUGGAGGGGGAUAACUACUGGAAACGGUAGCUAAUACCGCAUACCAUCGGGUUGGCCCAGUUGGGAUUAGCUAGUAGUUGGGGUAAUGGCUCACCUAGGCGACGAUCCCUAGCUGGUCUGAGAGGAUGACCGGCCACACUGGAACUGAGACACGGUCCAGACUCCUACGGGAGGCAGCAGUGGGGAAUAUUGCACAAUGGGCGCAAGCCUGAUACAGCCAUGCCGCGUGUGUGAAGAAGGCCUUCGGGUUGUAAAGCACUUUCAGCGAGGAGGCGUUACUCGCAGAAGAAGCACCGGCUAACUCCGUGCCAGCAGCCGCGGUAAUAC